AUUGAACGCUGGCGGCAUGCCUUACACAUGCAAGUCGAACGGUAACGGGCCUUCGGGUGCCGACGAGUGGCGAACGGGUGAGUAAUGUAUCGGAACGUACCUUUCAGUGGGGGAUAACGUAGCGAAAGUUACGCUAAUACCGCAUAUUCUGUGAGCAGAAAGCAGGGGAUCGCAAGACCUUGCGCUGAUUGAGCGGCCGAUAUCAGAUUAGCUAGUUGGUGAGGUAAAGGCUCACCAAGGCAACGAUCUGUAGCGGGUCUGAGAGGAUGAUCCGCCACACUGGAACUUGGACAGGGUCCAGACUCCUACGGGAGGCAGCAGUGGGGAAUUUUGGACAAUGGGGGCAACCCUGAUCCAGCCAUGCCGCGUGAGUGAAGAAGGCCUUCGGGUUGUAAAGCUCUUUCGGCCGGGAAGAAAUCGUAUGGGUUAAUACCCUGUGCGGAUGACGGUACCGGCAUAAGAAGCACCGGCUAACUACGUGCCAGCCGCCGCAGUAA
rnacentral:rRNA from 1 species